rnacentral:snRNA from 1 species
GUGUUUGCUUCGGCAGCACAUAUACUAAAAUUGAAAUGAUACAAAGAAGAUUAGCACGGCUCCUGUGCAAGGAUGACACACAAAUUCGUGAAGCAUUCCAUAUUUUU